UNUGGAGUAAAAGGCUAUGGCUCAACCAUAGUGUGCUCUGGAAACUGUNUGACUUGAGUGCAGAAGGGGAGAGUGGAAUUCCAUGUGUAGCGGUGAAAUGCGUAGAUAUAUGGAGGAACACCNGUGGCGAAAGCGGCUCUCUGGUCUGUCACUGACGCUGAGGCUCGAAAGCGUGGGUAGCGAACAGGAUUAGAUACCCUGGUAGUNCACGCCGUAAACGAUGAGUGCUAGGUGUUAGGCCCUUUCCGGGGCUUAGUGCCGGAGCUAACGCAAUAAGCACUCCGCCUGGGGAGUACGACCGCAAGGUUGAAACUCAAAGGAAUUGACGGGGGCCCGCACAAGCGGUGGAGCAUGUGGUUUAAUUCGAAGCAACGCGAAGAACCUUACCAGGUCUUGACAUCCCGAUGCUAUUCUUAGAGAUAGGAAGUUACUUCGGUACAUCGGAGACAGGUGGUGCAUGGUUGUCGUCAGCUCGUGUCGUGAGAUGUUGGGUUAAGUCCCGCAACGAGCGCAACCCUUAUUGUUAGUUGCCAUCAUUAAGUUGGGCACUCUAGCGAGACUGCCGGUAAUAAACCGGAGGAAGGUGGGGUUGACGUCAAAUCAUCAUGCCCCUUAUGACCUGGGCUACACACGUGCUACAAUGGUCGGUACAACGAGUUGCGAGCCGGUGACGGCAAGCUAAUCUCUGAAAGCCGAUCUCAGUUCGGAUUGGAGGCUGCAACUCGCCUCCAUGAAGUCGGAAUCGCUAGUAAUCGCGGAUCAGCACGCCGCGGUGAAUACGUUCCCGGGCCUUGUACACACCGCCCGUCACACCACGAGAGUUUGUAACACCCGAGGUCGGUGAGGUAACCUUUUAGGGGC
rnacentral:rRNA from 1 species